rnacentral:rRNA from 1 species
UACGUAGGAGGCAAGCGUUGUCCGGAAUUACUGGGCGUAAAGCGCGCGCAGGCGGUCCUUUAAGUCUGAUGUGAAAGCCCACGGCUCAACCGUGGAGGGUCAUUGGAAACUGGGGGACUUGAGUGCAGAAGAGGAAAGCGGAAUUCCACGUGUAGCGGUGAAAUGCGUAGAGAUGUGGAGGAACACCAGUGGCGAAGGCGGCUUCUGGUCUGUAACUGACGCUGAGGAGCGAAAGCGUGGGGAGCGAACAGG